CAGCUCAGCUGGGAAGACCUGCUCACCUGGAACAGCUGCAGGACUCACCUGUACAGAUCCAGGUGGGGUCAGGUUGGUGGGACAGCCGAGCCGCUGUGCUGGUACUUUGGAGAUCCAACACCAGGGACAGUGGAGACCAGUAGCAGACCUGAGUAAAGACUGGGACCUGAAGUCUGGAUCUGCUGUGUGUCAGUAUCUGGACUGUGGAUCAGUUGUUUCAGUCAACAACACAGAUGAUUCUCCAGACAGACCUGUGUGGUUGGUCUCAGUUCCUUGUGUAAAGCUGACAUCUGGAUCCAGGGACUGUGUUGAACUACAUGAUCCCUUUAAUCGCUCCUCUGCUGUGGACGUGGUGUGUUCAGAUCUGCUGCCUCAGCCCAACAUCUCCCUGUCUGACGGGGUCUUUGAGGUCU